ACACUCAAUCAGAACGGCAAGAAAAAGAAGCCAAGUGAUCUCAUUUGAUAUCUGAAGCUAAGCAGGGUUGAGCUUGGGUAGUAGUUGGAUGGGAGACCACCUAGGAAGACCAAGUGCUGUAGGCA
rnacentral:rRNA from 1 species